UGGCGGCGGAGCGAGGGGUGGGUGUUGCAGUGCGGCGGGAGAAGCUGCGCGGGGUGAUUCCCUCAGCUGAUGGCCGGGGAGUUGCAAAAAUGGACAUUAAAUGAAGCUACUCGUUGCGAUAGGUUGGGAUCACAAACAUCCCGUUACCUCAUCUCAGCUAAAGGCGUCUGUGGAAAUGCUCUGUCACUGUAAUAACGAGUGAACUCUGUGGCUUCGUUGGCUGAAGCAGUGCCUAAAGGUUUAAAACUUUCAGCCUUAUAUUUAAGUGUAUUUCUGAAGGGUUCUUCACCAGUGGUAGAAGGGCAAUGUGAGCAGCCAUGAAUAGCACAUAAAUAGAAAGCACAGGAGCUGUACCAGGACAGCAACGUUAAAACCGCCUUCAGGAGGGCUUCGCAAGAACCAGCAGAGAGGAGCAUAAGCAAUGUUGGUAACUCCAAUGAUGACCAUCAGCCAGGGAAACCCAAUAGCUCGUACGAUCGCGCCGCCUGUUGAUGGACCUGCACAUUGAAACAUGAACAAAGGCUCAGGAGGCAGGAAAAGAGCAAAAGGUGCUCUUCUACUUUGGAGGGGGUCUGAAGUCUGCAGUGGCUGUCCUACAGACUCAGUUCCAGUUGCUGCCAUUAAACACUGGGUGGAAGAACACAUUGAGAACAUCACCCCAUACCAAUUGCAAAGCCCAUGCAGAAGGCAACAUCUGCGAUGGCAUAGACAUUGCCGUAGACAGAGGUGUGGCGAAGGUCCACGAGGUAACCCAUAAUAGGCAUCAUGGAGGAGUCCACCAUUCCUGCCCAGAGCAAGCACGAUAUCAUGAGGUAUUGCCUUUUCCCAGAGCAGUGCUGGGAAUUGUACAGACUGACCACUUACCUAUGGCGAAGCCAAGCCCACCAUUUGGGCCAAUCAGCCCAUAAAUAUUUUUUGCCAGAGGUACCUUAGAGAGGAAAGAGAGAAGGUGUGAAUGAGGCCAGAAGAGCUCCAAGGUGAGGAGGCACAGCAUAGUUCUGUGAGAAAGGUCUGUGGUGCCAUCCCUGAGCAGGUCUCAGAGCUGCCCUGCAGUACUCACACAGAGCAGACUGAUCCCCACCACAGCCAUACCGAUCAGGGAGCACAGCCACCUGCAAGGAGGGCAGCAGAGGGUGAUGCCUUCAGCAUAUGCAAGCAGGAUCCUUGCUGUGGUCGCUGCUGUUCGCUUACCGGCCUAUUUUGUUAGCCAGGAGCCCGAAGAGAUUGGUUCCAAUGAGAUGAUAUAAGAGAUAUUCAGCCCAUCCCGCAGUGCCCAGCAGGAUCCACUCUGGCCAAACUGCAUCAAGCUACUGCUGAGGAGCACGGACUGCAAAGUGAAGCACCUACCAAGCUGCCAUUUGGGGGAGCACAUGGUUUGCAUCAUCCAGAUGGGCAAGGUGGGCUCGAGCAUGGCCACCCCCAUGUUGGAGAAGCAGAGGGCUCCUGGUGAGGAGAGAAGGGAAAGUGUCUGUUUAAGGCUUCUCCUACUGCUGUGUUGAGUAGGAACAAGGAAAUGGGGCAAUUGGGAACGCAGAGGUUACCUGCAGCCACCAGCACAUAGGGGUCCCGCAGCAGGGUGAGCACUGGUGUGCCUCUGGUGCUCUGCUUGAGAUGGGGGCUUAGGGAGCUGCAGGUGGGGGCUGAGCCACCCCCACCUGCAGCAUCUGCCCCAGCAUCGUGCCCAUACUCACCUCAGGGGAGACCUUGGAGGGCUGCAGAAUGCACAGCUGCAAACCUGGGGAGGGGGGGGGAACAGUGCUGUCAGUAUUGCUCCAAGCCAAAUUUCCCUGUGGCUUUUCCUUCAGGGGGGCACCAAUCAUUGGCAGAGCCCCAAGAAUGCAAAGCUGUGCUGUUGGGGCAUCAUCCAGGGAGCUGUCAGCUGCGGGAUUUCAAAUGGGGCAUGGCCAAAAUGAGACAUGGAAAAGAAUGGGAUGAAAAAAAACAAGCUUCAAACACAGGGAGCUUACAUUUCACUUUCCGGAGUCUCUUACAUGCUCCAUUAAAGAUGUCUUACAUUACAUCUAGGCAAAGAUGGUAACUGUGAAUCUAAUUUAAUUAGCUUAAUACUUUCCACUAAAAAUAUGUGUUUCUGCUAUCUGUAAUUCUGAAUGCUGUCGUGGCCUGAAUCUGUAACACAGCUACAGAGAGAGAGUAGGGAUUGCCAUUCACAGGCAACAUCCCAUUUCUUUGUAUUAUGAUGAAGAUGCUGCAGGCAGCACCACGUGUGCCUUCUACAGAGAAAUUCUGUUCAUAGAGCUUGACUGAUGUGCUACUUGAGCCAUUAAAGCAAUCAAAGGGGUCAUUAAGUAAUGAGGGACUAAUUCGUACUGUAUUGCUGUGUCACACAUCUGGUGGUGGGAAGCAUAUGGUUUAGCAAUAAGAGAGUAACUGAUGCUGUAUUAAUUGUGAGAGCCCUGAGAAGUUCUUCCUGAGGUGGCUGCAUUUUGGUCUUUCCACGUGCUUUGGUUUAUGGUUGGGUGAGUUGUUUGCUUUUGGGUUGGGUUAACUACGUGACCCCUCACCUCCAUCCAGCAGGGCUAAGAAAGCCAGGACCAGGAAGGGGGAGGCUUUCCCCACAAACUCGUACAUCACGCUGCCGAACGGGGCCCCGACUGCAAGGGAGAGGCUGUGUCACCAUGCAGCAGGCAACUGGCUUUAACCCAAACCCAUGUCUAGUGAUGGACUAUACCGGUGGAACCACGGGAAAUGGAUGGGGAGCAGAGACUGGGGUCCCCUUCCCCCCUCCCCCAGGGCUGAACCAAGGAUGCUCAGCAGCACCAAGCAGCAAAGCAUGGGGAUACUGUGGGUGUAGAGCCCCUGGCAGCCACAGGUCCUUACUCAGCACACCCAAGGCCAACCCUCCAAGGGCGAUACCCAUGGCGUUGCCUCUCUCAAAGUCGUCUGUGUAGAUGCUGGCCAGCAUGCCCAAGCCUGGGAGCAGAGAGAACCCGAGGUGAUGACUGAACCCAACUGGCAUAGGGCUUCAUGGCAUGCAGUGACCCAACAUGCUCACCUGCAACUGAUGAGAAGGAGGAACCAACACCUUGUAGAGCACGAGCGAUGAACAGCAGCAUGUAGGUGCCAGAGAAUGCAAACACUGCAGAAGGAGAAACACAGUGCCCAGCAGAGCUGCACAUCUAAAGCCCUGCUGAAGUGCAGCAGCAACCACUUGUGCCCAGCUGAGUCCUUCCCUGUCCCCUGCUUCUCAUGCAUGGGGACAGGGCAGGUGGUUGUCUCCUUUGCUGCUUUCAUUUUGGGGCAUCCUACUGUGUGUGAAGGGCAAAUCAGGGGCGGUACUCACUGAGCGUGGAGAGGAACAUGAUGAUGAAACCAAUGAACAUGGGAAUGUGGUAUCCUAUCCUGGAAUGAGAGAAAAGUAUGUCUGGUACAGCUAUGCCUAUGUGUACUGAAGUGUUUUGGUAUGAUGUUGAGCAUUAGUGAGGCUUAUUUUAUAAUGCAAGCUUGCAAACCAUUUGUAGGCUCUUAAAAAAGGCAGAAUUCAUUCCUAUUGUGGUGCUUGCACUCUCCUCUUUGCUAUUCUCUCACCGGAUCCCAUCAUUAUAUAACUGCAGAUCUUUGCCACUUGACUAGCAAGCAGUAGAUUGCAGACAUACCUGUUGGUCAGCAGCCCCACGCUGGGGUUGACCAGGAGCUGGACGAGAGCCUUGGAGGCAAAGAGCAGCCCCACACGCAUGUUCUCCUGCGUGAGGAAUUCCUCACCCUGUGGGCAGCCAUUGGGUGGUGGGGAGCUCAUGGGGAGAUGCUGUGAGUGCCUGGCGCUGGUCCCUUUCUGCAGCUCCACAGUGCUGUGGGAGUCCAAGGUUGUUAUGGUGCCGAUGUCAAAAUAGGAGGACAUGGGGGAGAAAGGAUCUUCGAUGGCUGAGGGAGGUGACUCAGAUUGAUGUGGGGCAGCAGAGCUGUUGGCACCUUCAUAUUCUGUUGUAUAAAGGAAGGUGGGGAUGAUAGGCACUGGGAAAAAAGCCAAGGAGAGUGUUCAUCAGUGGGUUUGCUUGAUUCUGUGGCUCAGCAUGCAUAUGAACUGGAUGGUGCUAUCUCAGUGUUGAUGCUUGGAAGCUCCUUCCCCCAUCCUUCCCCAUGGCUGUCCCCAUUGCUGUCUCACUGCCUGUCCCCGCUGCUCUUCCCUGGCAUGCCCCUACACCCAUCCCCACUCCUGUCCCCACACCCAUCCCCAAUCCUGUCCCCAUGCUUGUCCCCAGCACAGACCGCCAGCUGCCCGCAGCCAUCCCUGCAGUGCUCACCCUACCCACAACAGUCAGCAGCAUAUUGUCCAGCAGCAGUGCGACGAACACCACCACCAGCACCAGCCUCCGUGAUGCCCGGCCCUGUGCCAGCCAGCUCUGGGGCGUGGGGAUGGCUGCUGGGGGCAUUGCUGGGGCUUGGUCUCCUGGCUCCACUGUCAGGGCCAGCAAUGUCUUGCAACCUUGGGAGAAGAUGCUGUGGGUUAGCACCUCCCUCAGGUUCACGACUUAUCUCCUACAUGAGCUGGGUGCUGUUCUGAGAAGCAGAGAGUUCCAGCUUUGCUCUCAAAGACUCCACUUUCAUCCAGCUCACAUUUAAUGCUGCAGUCAGGAGACAGAGUGCUCCCCAGCCCUUUUACAUUCUCUUGAGACAUCUUGUACCCUGCUGCAAGCAUCAUCUCAGUAUUCCUUCAAAGACUCAAAGCAUAAAUCAAGCUGGUAGCUUAUCUGUGCUAAUCUCUACAUCUUGUAUUCCAUGUAUGUUCUUUGGAGAUUAAAUUGGGUCUCAAAGGAAAUUUACUCACUUUGCAUGUCUUUUCAUUUGACCUAAUAGAAAUGUCACAGCAAGAUGCGGGACUUAAAAGCCUAACAUACAGGAUUAAGGUUGGAACUUGUUCAGUCAUACUGAAAUAUCCAUCAGAAGUUUGUACCAACCCAACUGAUCAAUUAGCAUUUGGGUUCCUAUAGCUUGUGGCUGCUUUAGCAACAAAGCAGCAACAUGAGCAGAGCGGAGCCUGAGCUACAGCUGCCUCCAACACUCUUGGGAUUUCCUGAGAUCCCAGGCAGUGAUAUUUAUCAUUUCCUUCAUUAAGAAGAGAGCAAAGCCUCCAAACCCUUUAUCAUCUGAUCUGAGUGCCAUGCAAGUCACUACCUUGAAAAUGAAAUAUGGCUUCUCAUCGUACCUCCAAGUAACAGCAAGGACCAAAUAGAAUUAAUGCAAGAAAAUAGAUAUUUUUAUGUAUAAGUCACCAGGGAGAAAGAGUAAAGAAGCAAGGAAAAUAAAGACAAGUAGGCUGAAGCUGCCCUGAAUCUCAAGACUAAACUCCAUCCCUCUCAGUGCAAACCUGUAGCACAUAGCACAGCAACAAAACCCUUACCCCUGGACGCAUCCCAGUGUGCAGAGCUGACGACGGAGUGCUGGGAGCUGCUGCUACCAGGGAAUUUAUUGCAGCUCUUAUCAGGAGAGGGUAUGAGCAUCUGUCUUCCAUGGAGAUGUGGUUGCAGCCCUGCAGCUCCUCCUGCGUCAGAGCAGGAUGAGGAACGGGGGCUCAUUUCCGUGUGAGUCAGAAUUUGAUAGAAUCAUAGGAUUUGAUAGAAUCACCCUACAUCUAACCCUAACACUAACCCUAACCCUAAUCCUACCCUAACCCUAACCCUACCCUAACCUAAAGCUAACCCUAUCCCUAACCCUAACCUAACCCUAACCCUUGUUUGAGUUGGAGGGGACCUUUAAAGGCUAUCUGGUCCAACUCCCCUACAGUGAGCAGGGACACCCACAGCUCCAUCAGGUGCUCAGAGCCCCAUGCAGCCUGACCUUGGGUGUCUCCA
rnacentral:lncRNA from 1 species